rnacentral:rRNA from 1 species
AUGAACGCUAGCGAUAGGCCUAACACAUGCAAGUCGAGGGGCAGCACAUGAAGYAGCAAURCGGAUGGUGGCGACCGGCGCACGGGUGAGUAACGCGUAUGCAACCUACCUACAACAGGGGRAUAACCCGUUGAAAGACGGACUAAUACCCCAUAACACAGGGGUCCCGCAUGGGAAUAUUUGUUAAAGAUUAAUCGGUUGUAGAUGGGCAUGCGUUCCAUUAGCUGGUUGGUGAGGUAACGGCUCACCAAGGCAACGAUGGAUAGGGGAACUGAGAGGUUUAUCCCCCACACUGGUACUGAGACACGGACCAGACUCCUACGGGAGGCAGCAGUGAGGAAUAUUGGUCAAUGGACGCAAGUCUGAACCAGCCACGUCGCGUGAAGGAAGACGGCCCUACGGGUUGUAAACUUCUUUUGUAAGGGAAUAAAGUGAGUCACGUGUGAUUUAUUGCAUGUACCUUACGAAUAAGGAUCGGCUAACUCCGUGCCAGCAGCCGCGGUAAUUCA